AUGACCCAGUCUCCACUCAGUCUGUCCAUGCUGGGACAGACAGCAACCCUCACCUGCAAAUCAAGUCAGAGCCUUGUACAUAGUGAUGGAAAGACCUAUUUGAACUGGAUCCAGCAGAAGCCAGUCCGAGCUCCACGUUCCCUGAUCUAUCAAGUUUCUAACUGGUACCCUGGGGUCCCAGCCAGGUACAUUGGCAGUGGGGCAGUUACAGAUUUCACUCUUAAAAUCAGUAGAGUGGAGGCUGAGGACAUUGCCGUUUAUUACUGCAUGCAAGAGAAGCGCCAGCCCUAUUCUCACGUCAGAAACCUUCAGAGUCCCAGGAGUCUGCUGGGAGGCGUUGCAUCCUAG